rnacentral:rRNA from 1 species
GGUAUUCUGACUGUGCUAAGGUAGCAUAAUCAUUUGCUUCUUAAUUGGCAGCUGGAAUGAAAGGUUAAACUAACUUAGCUAGUUUGGUUUUCUAAUUAGGAGCUUUAAGUCAAGGUAAAAAUUCUUUGAUAGGCUAGGGGACGAUAAGACCCUAGAAGCUUAAUAAUAAGAUAGGGUAUUAGUUAUACCAAGAAUUUUGUUUUACUGGGGCGGUAAGUAUGUUUAAACCAUUUAGGUUUUAGCUGAGCCCCUAUAUAGGGAUAGGUUGGUGUAGUUACUCUAGGGAUAACAGUGCUAUAUUUUUGGAGAGACCUUAUCGAUAAAUAUUUUUGCAACCUCGAUGUUGAAUUAAGAUUUCUGCGUGAAGUAGAAGGUACGUGAGAGGGUUUGUUCAACCUUUAAAGUCUUACAUGAUCUGAGUUCAAACCGG